AUUGAACGCUGGCGGCAUGCCUUACACAUGCAAGUCGAACGGUAACGCGGGGCAACCUGGCGACGAGUGGCGAACGGGUGAGUAACGCAUCGGAACGUGCCCAGUAGUGGGGGAUAGCCCGGCGAAAGCCGGAUUAAUACCGCAUACGACCUACGGGUGAAAGGGGGGGAUCGCAAGACCUCUCGCUAUUGGAGCGGCCGAUGUCUGAUUAGGUCGUUGGUGGGGUAAAGGCCUACCAAGCCGACGAUCUGUAGCUGGUCUGAGAGGACGACCAGCCACACUGGGACUGAGACACGGCCCAGACUCCUACGGGAGGCAGCAGUGGGGAAUUUUGGACAAUGGGCGAAAGCCUGAUCCAGCCAUGCCGCGUGCGGGAAGAAGGCCUUCGGGUUGUAAACCGCUUUUGUCAGGGAAGAAAUCUUCUGGGUUAAUACCUCGGGAGGAUGACGGUACCUGAAGAAUAAGCACCGGCUAACUAUGUGCCAGCCGCCGCGGUAA
rnacentral:rRNA from 1 species